rnacentral:rRNA from 1 species
AUGCGACAUACUUUCGUCCCUGCUUAUUAUACUCGUGACAUGAUUAAGAAGUUGCAACACUUAAAACAAGCUAGUGAAACUGUAACAAAAUAUUAUGAUGAUUUACAAACUACCUUGUUGCAUUCCUCUUUAGAAGAAAGUGAAGAUGAUUUUAUGGAUAGAUUUUGGGGAGCAUUAAACCGUGAUAUUCAAGAGAUACUAAUUCAUGAAGAGUGUUAUCCUAUGGUCCAUUUGUUUCAUCUUGCUUGCAAAGCUGAACAGGAAAUAAAACGACGUGUUGGCCACGAGGAGAACAAGCGCACGGUGCACAUUCCAAGAGUUGAUAUGAUUGUUCCUUCAACUACUUGGCAUACUAUGACAACCACAUCCGUUGUUGUCAGGACUACAUCACCUCCACCAUGUGAUACAUCGCCUCCGAGAGUGGCUACAUCAUCUGAGUUGAUCAUAAGAGGUAAUGACAAAGGUACUGACCUUCCAUCUCUACAUGAGAAUGAUGAAUGCCUUGUCAAUUUGAAUGCACCAUCUGAUGAGAUACCCACUACUUUGAUCACACCACCUAUUUUAGAGGACUACGUUGAUAAUUUGACUUUGCCAUGUGAUCAAACAACUGAAAUACCAACAAUUUUGAGUGCACCCAUUGAAUUAACUAUUGAUGCAAAACAACCAAUGUUUAAUCAUUUUGAUAUGACCUCUAAUCUUGGUGAUGAUUCUGUGUUGAAUGACUUAUGCAUGUUUCCUUAUUUAAGCAUGUUGUAG